rnacentral:rRNA from 1 species
AACGAACGCUGGCGGCAUGCCUAACACAUGCAAGUCGAACGAGACCUUCGGGUCUAGUGGCGCACGGGUGCGUAACGCGUGGGAACCUGCCCUUAGGUUCGGAAUAACUCCCCGAAAGGGGUGCUAAUACCGGAUAAUGUCUUCGGACCAAAGAUUUAUCGCCUUUGGAUGGGCCCGCGUUGGAUUAGCUAGUUGGUAGGGUAAAAGCCUACCAAGGCGACGAUCCAUAGCUGGUCUGAGAGGAUGAUCAGCCACACUGGGACUGAGACACGGCCCAGACUCCUACGGGAGGCAGCAGUGGGGAAUAUUGGAAAAUGGGCGAAAGCCUGAUCCAGCAAUGCCGCGUGAGUGAUGAAGGCCUGAGGGUUGUAAAGCUCUUUUACCCGGGAUGAUAAUGACAGUACCGGGAGAAUAAGCUCCGGCUAACUCCGUG